AAUAGGAUUAUUAGCCUGCAACGCUAUACCAGAUACUCCAUCCCUAUUUAU
rnacentral:tRNA from 1 species